ensembl:lncRNA novel transcript
AGAUGGAGCCUCACUCUCUCGCCAGACUGGAGUGCAGUGGCACGAUCUCAGCUCACUGCAACUUCCACCUCCCUGGUUCAAGCGAUUCUCCUGCCUCAGCCUCCCGAGUAGCUGGGAUUACAGAUGCCACUGCGAGAACGGGAACAAUGGAACAGGCCCUCACCAAAUGCCAAAUGUGCUACCACCUUGAUUUUGGAUUUCCCAGCCUCCGGAACUGUGAGGAAUAAAUUUUUUUACUUAUAAAUUA